rnacentral:rRNA from 1 species
GACGAACGCUGGCGGCAUGCUUAACACAUGCAAGUCGAACGGAAAGGCCCUGCUUUUGUGGGGUGCUCGAGUGGCGAACGGGUGAGUAACACGUGAGUAACCUGCCCUUGACUUUGGGAUAACUUCAGGAAACUGGGGCUAAUACCGGAUAGGAGCUCCUGCUGCAUGGUGGGGGUUGGAAAGUUUCGGCGGUUGGGGAUAGACUCGCGGCUUAUCAGCUUGUUGGUGGGGUAGUGGCUUACCAAGGCUUUGACGGGUAGCCGGCCUGAGAGGGUGACCGGCCACAUUGGGACUGAGAUACGGCCCAGACUCCUACGGGAGGCAGCAGUGGGGAAUAUUGCACAAUGGGCGGAAGCCUGAUGCAGCAACGCCGCGUGCGGGAUGACGGCCUUCGGGUUGUAAACCGCUUUCGCCUGUGACGAAGCGUGAGUGACGGUAAUGGGUAAAGAAGCACCGGCUAACUACGUG